rnacentral:lncRNA from 1 species
CUCACCCACACCAUCUCUUCCCUUCCCAUGUUAUCUUGUCCCCCUCGCUUUAAGUGACAAACUCAAGUUUAUUAUGAAAAAUUAUAUUUUUUUAUUACAAAAUAUUCAAUAUUAAUUAGAAAACCAAGCCCAACUGGCGAAUUUAAUUUAAUAUUAUAUUUUAUUUUUGUAAGAUAAACUGAAAAGCACGUGUCAUUUCUUCCUGUGAAUACCGGUUUCACCGGAUCAUUUGCACAAUAUAUGUAGACCUUUCUAGGGUUUCAUCUCGUCCUUAAAUUAGCGCAACUCCCUCCCCUCUGUCUCCCUCUCCAAAAGCUGCUCAUGUAUUCAGCUCCUCACUCAGAAAUCACCUUCGUCGCCCUCUAUUAGGUAAAAUCUCUGUCUCUCCCCCCUGUAUAUAUGUGUGUGUUAUUGUAUUAGUGGGUCGAUGUGUUUGAUGUUAUUUUUAUAUACUCAUGAAUCAGAAAUUACGGUUUGUUUCCCC